AAUAUUGCACAAUGGGUGAAAGCCUGAUGCAGCGACGCCGCGUGAGGGAUGACGGCCUUCGGGUUGUAAACCUCUUUCAGUAGGGAAGAAGCCUUUCGGGGUGACGGUACCUGCAGAAGAAGCGCCGGCUAACUACGUGCCAGCAGCCGCGGUAAUACGUAGGGGGCAAGCGUUGUCCGGAAUUAUUGGGCGUAAAGGGUGCGUAGGCGGCCUUUUAAGUCAGAUGUGAAAGCCCACGGCUCAACCGUGGGAUUGCAUUUGAAACUGGAAGGCUUGAGUAUCGGAGAGGGUAGUGGAAUUCCUAGUGUAGCGGUGAAAUGCGUAGAUAUUAGGAGGAACACCAGUGGCGAAGGCGGCUUACUGGACUGUAACUGACGUUGAGGCUCGAAAGCGUGGGGAGCAAACAG
rnacentral:rRNA from 1 species